GAGUUUGAUCCUGGCUCAGGAUGAACGCUGGCGGCGUGCUUAACACAUGCAAGUCGAACGGGGAUGCCAUUUUCGAGGUGAUUAGUUUACUAAGAGCCAAGAUGUUGGCAUCUUAGUGGCGGACGGGUGAGUAACGCGUGGGUAACCUGCCUUAUACAGGGGGAUAACACUUAGAAAUAGGUGCUAAUACCGCAUAAGCGCACGGGGCUGCAUGGCCCAGUGUGAAAAACUCCGGUGGUAUAAGAUGGACCCGCGUCUGAUUAGCUUGUUGGCGGGGUAACGGCCCACCAAGGCGACGAUCAGUAGCCGGCCUGAGAGGGUGGACGGCCACAUUGGGACUGAGACACGGCCCAAACUCCUACGGGAGGCAGCAGUGGGGAAUAUUGGACAAUGGGGGGAACCCUGAUCCAGCGACGCCGCGUGAGUGAAGAAGUAUUUCGGUAUGUAAAGCUCUAUCAGCAGGGAAGAAAGAAAUGACGGUACCUGACUAAGAAGCCCCGGCUAACUACGUGCCAGCAGCCGCGGUAAUACGUAGGGGGCAAGCGUUAUCCGGAUUUACUGGGUGUAAAGGGAGCGUAGACGGUUACGCAAGUCUGGAGUGAAAGGCGGGGGCCCAACCCCCGGACUGCUUUGGAAACUGUAUAACUGGAGUGCAGGAGAGGUAAGUGGAAUUCCUAGUGUAG
rnacentral:rRNA from 1 species